rnacentral:rRNA from 1 species
GACGAACGCUGGCGGCGUGCUUAACACAUGCAAGUCGAACGGAAAGGUCCUGCUUUUGUGGGGUGCUCGAGUGGCGAACGGGUGAGUAACACGUGAGUAACCUGCCCUUGACUUUGGGAUAACUUCAGGAAACUGGGGCUAAUACCGGAUAGGAGCUCCUGCUGCAUGGUGGGGGUUGGAAAGUUUCGGCGGUUGGGGAUGGACUCGCGGCUGAUCAGCUUGUUGGUGGGGUAGUGUCUUACCAAGGCUUGGACGGGUAGCCGGCCUGAGAGGGUGAACGGCCAAAUUGGGACGGAGAUACGGACCAGACACCUACGGGAGGGAGGAGGGGGGAAUAUUGAACAAUGGGCGGAAGCCAGAUGCAGCAACGAAGCGUGCGGGAGGACGGACUUCGGGUUGUAAACCGCUUUCGCCUGUGACGAAGCGUGAGUGAAGGUAAUGGGUAAAGAAGCACCGGCUAACUACGU